GAGGGCGUAGCUCAGUGGUAGAGUGCCUGCUUUGCAUGCAUAAGGUCCUGGGUUCGAUCCCCAGCACCUCCA
rnacentral:tRNA from 1 species